UACGUAGGGUGCGAGCGUUGUCCGGAAUUACCGGGCGUAAAGAGCUCGUAGGUGGUUUGUCGCGUUGUUCGUGAAAACUCACAGCUCAACUGUGGGCGUGCGGGCGAUACGGGCAGACUAGAGUACUGCAGGGGAGACUGGAAUUCCUGGUGUAGCGGUGGAAUGCGCAGAUAUCAGGAGGAACACCGGUGGCGAAGGCGGAUCUCUGGGCCGUAACUGACGCUGAGGAGCGAAAGCAUGGGGAGCGAACAGG
rnacentral:rRNA from 1 species